UACGUAGGUGGCAAGCGUUGUCCGGAAUUAUUGGGCGUAAAGCGCGCGCAGGUGGUUCUUUAAGUCUGAUGUGAAAGCCCACGGCUCAACCGUGGAGGGUCAUUGGAAACUGGGGAACUUGAGUGCAGAAGAGGAAAGUGGAAUUCCACGUGUAGCGGUGAAAUGCGUAGAGAUGUGGAGGAACACCAGUGGCGAAGGCAGCUCGCUGGGACGGUACUGACGCUGAGACGCGAAAGCGUGGGGAGCAAACAGG
rnacentral:rRNA from 1 species